rnacentral:lncRNA from 1 species
UUUCAAAAAUUCUCUACCCUCUUUAAUAUUUUUACCCUUUUUCGGACAUUUUAACUUUUCCUCAAAAUUGAUUUUUUGUUUUUAGCAUUUGGAUUUAAUUGUCAACAUUUCAACUAUUUUUUCUCAUCCCUGACCAUGACACUCUUCUUUAAAACACAGCUCAUAUCAACUAUCUGCGAAUCAGAUCUACACUCGAUCAGUUUUUCCCUUUAUUAUAAAUUUAGUAAAAAGAUCUCCCUUAAAAGUCACCUGCUUCCAAAAUGAACACGUUAAUCAGGUCCAAACUUGCAGACCUGCUUAGACUUAAUUCAGAAGUGCUGAUUUCUUGGCCAUGACUGAAGCUUUUAAAUGUUCGAACCAUGCUUAACAUGUUUGCUCACAUCCAAUCUGAUGUUGCUGCUGAGAAAAAAAUGAUGUUGUAUUUGUUCUUCAGAAUGAAGAGUGCCUUUUGAAGACUCCAAUCUCAAUCUCAGAUCUAAUUUUUCAGGGCUGGUUUCUUAAUCACACAUAUAGCCGCCCGAGUUGAAUCACAGAGCAGCUGCUUCAAGAACAGCAUCCUUAUGUCAAAGCAAAAUGUCAUGUGAGAUUCAGGUCAAAUUUGUCGGCUUAAAUUCAACCCCCCUCCCUGUGAUUAUGUUGUACUGUUAAAGGCUCGCAGGCAGACAUUUUCUCACACUGGCUGUUCUCGCCUCCGACAAGCCCGUGGUGCUGGCGUACAUCUCACCCCUCCGCCUCGUCAGAAAGCAUCCUUACAGAUGGUGGAAAGACAAACUGUCAGAUAGACGUCGCCGUCUGAGGAGGUGGAUGGGAGUGUGAGGAUUAAAUCUAAGUGAAGUACAGAAGAAUAAAGGCCGCUGAAGGUCAGCAUCCCCACCCCCACGGCGCCGUUAAACAACAGGCUUUUAAUGGAAAAGACGCUGAAAUUCACUUCGCAAACCAACAUUACUUUGACACAUUGCUUUUCGAUUAAAAGGUACCGAGGCUGAUCUGAAACUCCACUCAGAGAAGAAAGAGGAUUAUUCGCCACAAAAUAUCAGAGCCGAUGCUGCAGGUUGGAAGGGAGAUGUAGAAAAGAACACCCAGAGCUGUGUGAAGGAAAUCUGGUCAAAAUGCUCUGUGAUAGAUAGAUGGAUGAAUAGAGUGCAUUUCAUGUGGUGCACUUGUGUGUUGCCAUAAAAAUCUUGCAGCAUUGUUCCCAUGAGGUAGUGUGUCUGGCCCUUUAAAGCCACUUACUUGGACCAGCUGGUCUCUGGUGAUGUGUUGUCAAAUUGAGCUCUGCUAGUGCUGGUUUGUCUUUCUGCUCGUGCUCAAACGAAGGACGUUUGGGAUGCCAUCCUGAUGCAAAAAAUAAGGCCCUUUGCUGUAUGUACAUAUACAUAUAUGUAUGUGUAUAUGUACAUAUAUAUGUAUAUUAUGUCUGUGGCCUAUGGAGUCAGGCUGCUCCGCUUUGCUGGAGGCACAGAUGAACCAGUAGGGAGAGCCUAUAAUUCUUCCAUAAGAAUUUGAGUAAAUCUUGCACAUCAACUAAGGUCUCACAUUUUCGCACAUUUGUCAGACAUCGACUUUCUCAGAUAAUGACAACAUACAUUGACCUUGUGAUUUAAAACUUUGUAGUAUGGACACCAAACUUUGUAACUUUGCAGUUUUUGUUGUAAAUGUGGACAGGCACAAUCCCCCCUCCUUUAAAGACAGACUAUUCCUCGAUUGUCUCCUGACCACUACAAUGGUCUCUCAGAAGUGUCAGAUCUUGAUUGUCCUGUCACUCAAAGCGUGUGAAGUUUCUGGAGCGGCACUGUGAUGUUGCCACUCUGCACGGCCACGAGUUUUCUUCCACACAUCUGUUGGAUUUUAUUGUCACUUUCUCUGAUGAAAGUCGUAAACCCCUUCCCUUCACCCUUGCCCCCUAACUGUUCGUCAUCCUUGCAGCAUCCUUGGCCACUGGAGCGUGAGUGCCGCGGGGCUGACAGGCCCUUGUUUAUCUCAGGAGAGAUGGGGUGAUCUGUGGCAGCCCCGGGUCUUUCACCUCUCAUCAGGCCUUUUCAUAAAGUUCCCCGCUGUCUCUUGGGACUGUAUGCUCAACCCAAAGGCCCGUGAACAUGGUCUUUCCUUUCUUUUUCCUUUCUAUCUGUUAUUUUUUCACAGAGGCUUUGCCACGCUCUCCUCUGAUGGGGAACUUGUAGAUUUAGAUUUUUGUUACCACACAGGGCUUCAGGUUCCUUCAGGGUGGGUUUUAUCCUCUGCAAUACUGAGAACUGUUUCUAGCGAAAACACACUAACAUACACAUAAUAUGUUUGGUAGUCAGUAAAUAUUUCAACCUUGGUGAAAAUUUAAUGAACUUGCUCCACAAGAGACUCAAUAUUUCAAAGGUUUGGCCGUUAAUGUUGUAUGAUGUCUCUGAUCUCUUGUUUUGAUGUUUCCAGGUAAUCGGCUCGGGCUUGACUUUUAGUUCUUGUGCUUAAAAGCAGAAAAACAAGAAAAAAAAGGCUAAUGAGUGGGUUUGUGUUCUGUUGAAAUUGCCAGUGCAUUGCUGUGAUCCUCUUGUAGCUUCUUUUCGCAGUCUUUCAAGCUUUGACGUUUCCAGCUUUGGAACAACCAUGUACUUUUCUCUGAUACCUGUGAAGUCUACACUACAUGCAGUUAACCACACUAGCUUUCAUUCAAAGAGCUGUAAAUGAAGGUCGGAUCAGACAGAUCGGCGCUUGGUGAGCAGAUUUCUGUCCUCAAAUGGGAAGUUUGAUAGUGCAGAAGAUUACGUGUCGUGCAGAUGAUUCCCACUGCCAAAAGAGAAACGAUUCAUAUGUUUUUUUACGUGGAAUUCUUUGAACUCGUCUGGUGGACGUUGACUUUUGAAAGCCAGAACAUUAUCACUUAAAAGGAUCUUUGAAAAGCCUUUUUAUUCUUUUUGACUGAUUCUGCCAAAUACUUUUUCAGUGCUUUAUAAACAGCAAGGAUUGUAAAUACUAAUAACUCAUGUCAGAGGAGGCUCACAUGGAGCUUACUUGACUGUCCACCUCGUUGGUCCUCUGCAGAUCUAAAUAACAAGACUUAGAGCGUUGCCUUCCUGAAAGUGCAAAUGAAGCAAAGCUGUUCUCCCGGACAGAGCGCUUUGACUUGGAUCUGCAUUUGGGAAAGUGACACCGAGUAUUUGUCCUUUCUUUCAGUCUUUGAUAAUGUUUUCCAUCUUGGUGUUUCUUGGUGUGCAAAAAUGUAAAGAAGAAGAAAAAAAACUUACAACACAGAAUACCUCAGAAAAGAUAUCCAUGUAACCUUGACAACCUCCACAUCUAGUCAGAUCCUGUCCAUCCACACUCGUCUCCUGGGCACUUUCAUCCUCCAUCCUUCGUCUUUGUUUUACCCUUGUGCAUUUUAUGCCACUCAGUCUGUCGCGCCCAAGGAGGUUCAAUCAUUUUUUGAACGUUUUUAGUUUCACAUCUUUAUUCGUGUUCUGUCUUGUGACUAAUCACCCUCAGUCUAAAACCUUUCGCAGCCCACUUGGCGUUCUUCAGACUACACGAGGGUUUACUUUUUGUGAUACCUCGAUGUAGGGAUGUCCCGAUCUCCAGCUCAAUCAUAGUCAAUGCUAUGAAUUUGAUAUGACACCUAAAAGUUGCUUUGAAAUAGGGUGCAUUCACUAAACCAACAAAUGAGGCAGCUGCACCAAAGUGGCAAACUCUGGACUUGUAAAGAACGGUGAAAACCAGCCCACCACAGAAGUAGAGCACCAAGGUUCUUUUCAGCUUUUGAAUGUCCUGCAGUCUUGUUCAUACAGCUCAGGCACCACAGCAAUGGGAUUUGUAACAUGAUGUGACAGCUGCCAGUCUAGUCACCCAUUUGUUUCAUAAGCAAAGCUUUAAGACCCGUUAAAAGAGGUUGGAGAUGUAGACCAACUGGAGGCAAAUAAGUUGAGGUGGGCCUCUAGCCUCCUCGCUAACUGCUACAUCGUGCCCACCUGUCUGCAAAGUCAGCUGUGCCUCUAAGGCUGCAAAACUCAUAACCUUAAUAGCUUAUUUAGCUGUUCAGACCAGAGCCAUGAACAUAGUGAUUUUUGCUGCAAAAACAGGCUCUUAAGAAAGGUUGUGUCAUGGGCUUCUGUUGCUUUUGCAUUUGGCCUCUAGUGGACACUUAUGGAACUGAAGCAUGUCUGAGUUAGCUUCAUUUCUGGAGAAUGGAUGUUGCUGCUUGGUGCAGUAUUGCAUGCACCAUUGAGGAAAUGCACUGCACUGAAAAACAGAUACAAAAGUUUAAAAAACACAAGAAUUGGAUCUGGACUGAGCAGAUGCUCAAUGUUAGAAAAAUCAGAUGGGGAUCAGGGCCAGUAAAGCUGAUGGGGACAUCCCUACUUUUAUAAGACGCUGAUACACUGUGUCACGUUGAUGGGUGUGUAGAACACCACAGACCUUGUGUAAAAGAUGGACAUCUGAUUUCAAAAGUGGGUUUGCUGGAAGGCUGAAGGACAACACGUGGAACACUUGAAACCACAUAUUUCCAUACUGUUCCUAUUUCUCUUUAACUACUUAUCUGCUCUUUAUCAUCGUUAAAAACUGAAUGUAAAAAAAAAAAAAACAAACACAACUAACCUCUAAUUUAACUAUACAUAUUUAAAAAUAAGAAUUACUCUAUUUGUGCACAUAGAUAUACCUAUACAAGCCCCACACAGACACAAACACAAAUGCAUAUGUAUAUACAAAUCUCUAAUGUCAUAUACUUUUAUCUUGAAAAGGAAGAGGAUGAGCCUUUUCCAGUAUUGAUUCAGGGAAACCGUACAGAAGUCAAGUGCAGUAUGUUCAGUGGAAUCACUCUCUCUCUCUCUCUCUCUCUCUCUCUCUCUCUCUGUUGCUUUUGGUGUUCGGUUUUCUUACUGCGUUCUUGUUUGUUUUCUCCCCAUGAUGUAGCAUAGGGCAAAGGGGGCAGGCGACAUGAGCUUUUUUUAGUUAACAGAAGAGGACGUAGUAAACUAGGAUCUAAUGUAGUUGUAGUCUUUUCAAGCCUGAUUCUGUGAAAAAGGGUGGGGUGGGGUGGGGGUUUUCCUGAAGUUGAACACUGUAAGGACAGUAAAGCUAUGAAGAUGACUCUGGAGUGAGAGCCACAUUUUGGGGGAGGGGCAGGAAAGGUUUUUAGGGGGUCUUCGAAACAUUUGUGUAUAUAAAACUGCUUUACCCAUCAAGCCUUGCCUGUCUUUUUCACAGGUGAGGUGGAUCUGUACAUUGAAGGCACUGCGGAGAAACAGUUGGUGUGUUUUUAUGUCUCGAAAAGACUGUUUAAAUGAAGGAGGAGGGUUGGAGGGUGAGGAACACAGCAGGCGGUGAAGUUGUAAGAAAACGACGCAGCUCCCCGGAGUUUUUCUGGGAGCAACAGAUGGUUUUUGUGAACGUUGACCCUCUUGAUAUUUUUGCAUGCUGGUGUACAUACCCCUGUAUCAGUCCUUUGGUUUGAAGACGCUGGUUAAUCCAAAAGCACUUUUUUUGGAUGUCGUCCACAGGACAGAUUCUGAUGUUUUUAAAUAUAAAAAUAUUGCCCCUAAGAAAAAAAAGACCCUGUCCCCAGAAGAAGAAGCACCUAAGGUGUUUGUCACUGCAACAGCUUUCGUAGUGGUUUUUUGCUUAAAGCUAUUUUGCAAUCAUUUUCCUUUUUUUCCUUGUGUAAAGUAACAAAAAGUGCGUAUGAGUGUGAAUCUGUGUGGCUGUGUAAGAAACGAUGAAAAAGCUCUUUUUUUUAAUCUCCCUCAGUUCUCUUUCAACCACAUUUCAACCUCAGCUGUUUUUAGGAACAUUACCUGAGCUCAAUCUAACACCGACCACAUUUGAAGAAUUGUAUCUCUGAACGUAUCCUGGCAGUCUGCAGGGAAAGACGCCGCUCUCCGGGCUCCUUACAGACCCAAAUUAUUUCACCGAGACACCCUCAGGGACCUUCAGCAACACUGCUCUCACUCUUAUUCAGGUACUUUCUCUUCACUGAGGCCUAGCAGUGAUCUACUUUGGUUUAUUUUCAUAAGCCUGUUCUUAUGAAGACUAAAACUUACCGCCAAUAUCGUAGAAGUUCAGAAGCAGUUUUUCAUACCCUCAAAGUUUUCUUCCACUGUGUCUGCAAAUCAAGCAACACCUCUUUUCUUCCCUUUCCCUGUUCUUGUCUUGUAUCUAUUCUUUACAUCUCUGGAAAUUUUGUUCUACUUUAUGAAUGUCUAUCUCUUUCUCAGUUGAGGACUGUUGUGUCUUUGCUCACACGCUGUCCUUCCUGCAAGCUUCAUCAGGUGCCGCGGCUCUCGCUGAUGCAGCCGGCGCUAACGUGUGGCUACAUAGCACCAACGUAACAAUGACUUACACCGAGCUAACCUCUUAAACAUUUCAUACAAGUGCACAAAAAACGUGGUCCGGCUUUCAGAAAGUGAAUGAGCCUCCACAGUACAGUAUGUUGGUUUAAAAAUAAAGAAUGCUGCAGUUUCAGUACGCAUGUUCAGGUAUCCGUCUAGUUUAAGUGCUUUCUUCAGUUCACUUAAGCUAAAGUUGAAUAUAUUUGGGGUUACACUUACAGAAUGUGACAGUUCUGCCUUCAGUUCUUCUUAAGCUUCAGGGAAAACUUAGUAAAGCCUCACUCACAGCAAGUGAAAAAGAAAAUGACCUCACUCAGUUGGACGUUGGGUGUUCAAACCUGCAGGAGUGUUGAGCUGUGAAGAAGAAGAAAGGCAAACAAACUGGGGCAGAAGGAUCCGUGUUGUUGCAGUUUUUGGUGAAAUCGUUCUCAUUUGUUCUCGGACUUUUUAAACAGCCGCUCUUCUCCGCUGUGAUCGGUGGAAACCUCUGCUGUUUGUCGCAAACGUGUUGCUUCACACAGCCGGACGGUGGACGCUGUUGGUUACGGGGGUUUGAAUUUUCAGAAAGAACUCGUCAUGCAAAAACAGUUUGUUGAUGUUCUGGUCUGGAUGACAGGAGUGUGUUUGAACUUUGCCUAAAUUUUGUACCUCUUACAACAAUCAAAUCAGUGAUGUUUGGUGAGAACUGUGUAAAAAGUCUUAGAAAAUAAGUUGUAUUUCAUGUUUUAAGAACUCUUAAGAUUACUUUCUACAUUCCUGAUGUUGGUUUCAGUAGAACAUGAUUUCGUUGCGAUAGAGGUAGUUCUAAUUGGGUUGGAAACUGCUUUGUGAUGUUUGGGUAGACGCAGGAAGUGUUGACCAAGGGUUUGGACUCUAACCUCUUCUUUUCUUUGGUCUUGAUUUUCGUCCCGCUGAGGUUUGUAAAGUUUCGUAAUCUCACCUCGGUUCUUAACGGGUGGCUGGACGCCCUGCUGCAGGGCCUGCUGGGCUUUUUCUGCGGAGUUUUGUUUUUGGGUUUGACGAUAUACCUCAUUCCUCUGGUCCAGCAGGCCCUGGGGGGGCUCUGUGCCGAUGCUCAGGACACCCAAGCCCCCUCUCACGAUUUUGGUCCAACCUGGACCGUACCUCUAACAAACACACACAUAUGUACCUACACUACACACAGGUUCUCCAAAUACCCUAAUGGACCUCAUUUUUUCAAUAUCUACUGUUUACAGUUUGACAAAAAAAUUGUAUAAUUUAAAAAAUAUUUUUCUCAUAUUGUAGUUUUAUUUAUGUACAAUAAUUUUUUUGUUUUCGUUCUUAUUUUGCACCUUGUGAGUUGGACUUUUAUUCUUCUAGGCUUAUAUUAUCGAUGUCUGUGUAAAUGAGCACUUAAAGAUCACGAUAAUUGGUUUUAGUUUGAUUGACUGUACUAUUUUAUUUUUUCUUUUACUCCCUCCCUGUUUUGAAUGCAAAAUCUGAUUUUCUGAUUGGGCUAAUGAAUAAUAUAUUGUCUCAUAAUGUCUGUGAUUUUUUUGACAAAAAAUUGAAAGAUGAUGAUUUGAUUUCCUACUGUUUGCUUUUUAAACUUCAUUUUGCAUUGAACGUCAGGCGACGCUGAUUAGAUCUGUCUUUGUGCAUGUGUAAAAUAUGUUACUGGUUAUGUUAUAUUCAAUUUGGUAAAAAAGAAAAUUGCCAUUUUUGCCACACAUUUCAGCUGUAAUGUUGUGUAAGGUAGUAUUCACUGGAUGCUAGAACCUUCUUUUCAAAACCACUAUUCUUCUAAUAAAUUUUGUUGUGAAAAUAAAAA